rnacentral:tRNA from 1 species
GGCGAAGUGGCCGAGAGGAUAGGCAGAGGCCUGCAAAGCCUUGUACACGGGUUCGAAUCCCGUCUUCGCCU